rnacentral:lncRNA from 1 species
UUUGCAAUUUUUCUUCUGUUGUUUCUCUCUUUCUCACCCUUUCUCUCUGUAAUUUCAGUGAAGUAGAGGCAGUCGUGCUGCUGUGGACAGUGUGUUGCUCACCAGAGCCUCCAGAGACCCGACUGGACUCCUCUGCAGGUAUGACAGAAAAAUGUCCUGAAAGAGGUCAGUCCUUCCAGGCUGUGGAAGAAGAGGGCCUUUGAUUUGACUGUUUGUCUGCGGCUGGCCGUGAUGGAGUGGAGAGCUUUCAGAUCUCUCAGCCCGUCCUGAGGAGGCAAGACUAAUAAAGCAGUGAAAGGUCAGACGUGAUUGAUGCUC